UACGGGGGAGCAAGCGUUGUUCGGAUUUACUGGGCGUAAAGGGCGCGUAGGCGGUCAGCACAAGUCAGUUGUGAAAUCUCCGAGCUUAACUCGGAAAGGUCAACUGAUACUGUGCGACUAGAGUGCGGAAGGGGGCAACUGGAAUUCUUGGUGUAGCGGUGAAAUGCGUAGAUAUCAAGAGGAACACCUGCGGCGAAGGCGGGUUGCUGGGCCGACACUGACGCUGAAGCGCGAAAGCCAGGGGAGCGAACGGG
rnacentral:rRNA from 1 species